ensembl:lncRNA
AACACACAAUUCCCCAUCCCUCCCAGGUCUUUCUGAACCAAGAGCUCUUCCGUCAGCUUUUAUCCCGAGAGCGGAGAUGUGGGUCAGAUCUGCUUGGAUGAGUGUGUCGGCGUGAUGCUCAUGAAAUUGCCGCACCAUAACAAAACUCCAAACAAAAGCGGGUUGCUAAUGGAAAGUUUUAGCCAGGGCGAAGGGUUGCUGGGAGCCGUAAAAGCGUUGGCGUUCCGGGAUGGAACAAACGGCCAAUACCGCCUGGAGCCACUCCUUGGGAUUCGGGUUAUUUCAACACUCAUCCAAGCAGAGUGUCGCGCAUACACAGUCAGAAAAUCAGCCUUAACCGGCACAGGAACGUUACGACCGCUUGUCAUGAACCGCCUGUGAUGGAGCUCUGAAUGUUUCAAAAGACUUUUUUGAUUUUCAGAAUCUUGAUUUGUCUUCUAAGGCAAACUGAGGUCAUCUCGGUUAUAUGGAACAUUCCAGUGUUUUAACAAUGGAAUGACUGUUGUGAGAUCGAAAAAUACAACACAUGCAUCUCCCUGAUGCCAUCAUGAUGCCGUCUCAGAGGAUGCUUUUGAGCACGCACCCAUGCACCUUCUCUAAACAAGCCCUCAUGUUGAUGGCAUCCACAGACAAUGGUAUGCAGCAAACGUAGCCAUGCACUAAUCUGAUCCUGAUGCCCACCUCUGCUUUUCCGUCGUCCAUCAGAACAGGGUCCUGAAUCUGAAGGGCAUCUCUGAUAAGGGAAUCUGCUUCUCUUUUUUUUUUUUUGGUGGAGAAUUCAAUUUGCACAAUCAACCAAGACAUGUUUCCUCGUAGCUCUGGAGCUAUGUUGCUGAUGUGCUGUAGCUAUCUUGCCAAAAACCACAUCCAGUUCUUUGGCUAAUGAUGCCCUGUACUACUAUGGGGUGUCCAUCUUGUACAACCAAAAUUUUUCCUCAGCGCUUUCUCUGGAUUCUCCAGUUUCUUCUCCUCCCCAAAAACAUGCCGGUAGUUAGAUCAGCUACGCUAAAUUGCUCCUAAGACCUGGGUGUAUUCUCACCUCUUGCCCAGUGAUCCCAGACGCUGGCUCCACCAUGACCUGAUCAGGAUAAAGCACUGACUAAAGCUGAAUGAAUGAACGAAUUCAUGGAUGAAUGAGAUGACUUCACUUAAUGUCAUUUUCUUCCCAUCUGGAAGGCACCAGCUCAUGUUUCUAGAGUCGUUCAUGGUUUCUGUCCCACGCGGUCUUCAAAAAUCAAAUUUACACAAUAUAACCUUUGUCCUAAAUGAUGUUAGCCAAGACCUGCUUAGUGUCCAGUAUUUGGUGGCUUUAACUUGUUUCACUUCAGCUACAAGGCUAGCGUAGCUACACUAUAUGGCCAAAAGAAUAUGAAUGCCUGACCUUCACACCCAUAUGUGGGCCUUCCCUAAACUGUUUCCACAAAGUUUGAAGCACAGAGUUGUCUAGGAGCAUGUCUGGAGCAUACAAAGCAACCAAAGGGCCCCAAAAUCUAUUCCAGCAAGACAAUACCCAUGCAUUGUCCAUGGAGGCAUGGUUUGAAGUUGGAGUGGGAGAACUCUAGUGACCUGCACAGAGCCCUGACUUCAACCCUCUUGGGAUGAACUGGAACACCAACUGGACUCCAGGCCUCCUCCUCGCCUGACAAUCAGUUCCUGACCUCACUAAUGCUCUUGUAGCUGAAUGAGAACAAAUCCUCACAGCCAUGCUCUGAAAUCUACUGGAAAGCCUUCCCAGAAGAGUGGAGGUUACUAUAACAGCAAAGGGGACUAAAUCUGGAAUGGGAUAUUCAACAAGCACAUAAGGGUACAAUUGGUUAGGUAUCCACAGAUGUUUGGCAACUGUUUCAUCCAGUUCUUGAACAUCUGGAAUCUUGGUGUCAUUCAAACGUCUUAGUACAAGAUAGUUAGAAGUGAUGAUAUUGGAAGCAAGUGAAGAUAUGUUCUCCUAACUCCAGUGAGAACAGUCAUGACCUGGCUGAUUGACUACAUCUGAGGUAAAUACUACAUCUUAAGCUCCACACCGAAUUUGUU